rnacentral:rRNA from 1 species
GACGAACGCUGGCGGCGUGCCUAAUACAUGCAAGUAGAACGCUGAAGAGAGGAGCUUGCUCUUCUUGGAUGAGUUGCGAACGAGUGAGUAACGCGUAGGUAACCUGCCUUGUAGCGGGGGAUAACUAUUGGAAACGAUAGCUAAUACCGCAUAACAAUGGAUGACACAUGUCAUUUAUUUGAAAGGGGCAAUUGCUCCACUACAAGAUGGACCUGCGUUGUAUUAGCUAGUAGGUGAGGUAACGGCUCACCUAGGCGACGAUACAUAGCCGACCUGAGAGGGUGAUCGGCCACACUGGGACUGAGACACGGCCCAGACUCCUACGGGAGGCAGCAGUAGGGAAUCUUCGGCAAUGGGGGCAACCCUGACCGAGCAACGCCGCGUGAGUGAAGAAGGUUUUCGGAUCGUAAAGCUCUGUUGUAAGUCAAGAACGAGUGUGAGAGUGGAAAGUUCACACUGUGACGGUAGCUUACCAGAAAGGGACGGCUAACUACGUGCCAGCAGCCGCGGUAAUACGUAGGUCCCGAGCGUUGUCCGGAUUUAUUGGGCGUAAAGCGAGCGCAGGCGGUUUGAUAAGUCUGAAGUUAAAGGCUGUGGCUCAACCAUAGUUCGCUUUGGAAGCUGUCAAACUUGAGUGCAGAAGGGGAGAGUGGAAUUCCAUGUGUAGCGGUGAAAUGCGUAGAUAUAUGGAGGAACACCGGUGGCGAAAGCGGCUCUCUGGUCUGUAACUGACGCUGAGGCUCGAAAGCGUGGGGAGCGAACAGGAUUAGAUACCCUGGUAGUCCACGCCGUAAACGAUGAGUGCUAGGUGUUGGAUCCUUUCCGGGAUUCAGUGCCGCAGCUAACGCAUUAAGCACUCCGCCUGGGGAGUACGACCGCAAGGUUGAAACUCAAAGGAAUUGACGGGGGCCCGCACAAGCGGUGGAGCAUGUGGUUUAAUUCGAAGCAACGCGAAGAACCUUACCAGGUCUUGACAUCCCGAUGCUAUUUCUAGAGAUAGAAAGUUACUUCGGUACAUCGGUGACAGGUGGUGCAUGGUUGUCGUCAGCUCGUGUCGUGAGAUGUUGGGUUAAGUCCCGCAACGAGCGCAACCCCUAUUGUUAGUUGCCAUCAUUCAGUUGGGCACUCUAGCGAGACUGCCGGUAAUAAACCGGAGGAAGGUGGGGAUGACGUCAAAUCAUCAUGCCCCUUAUGACCUGGGCUACACACGUGCUACAAUGGUUGGUACAACGAGUUGCGAGUCGGUGACGGCAAGCUAAUCUCUUAAAGCCAAUCUCAGUCCGGAUUGUAGGCUGCAACUCGCCUACAUGAAGUCGGAAUCGCUAGUAAUCGCGGAUCAGCACGCCGCGGUGAAUACGUUCCCGGGCCU